rnacentral:lncRNA from 1 species
CAAAAAAAACAAAAAAAAAAAAACAAAAAAAAACAUGCUACCAUGGAUGACAAUUAGGUGAUUAACUUAUAUGUCUACAAGAUGCCCCUUAGUCACCUAGUUCUCAAUUAACCUAUAUGGUAAGUAACAAAUCUCAAAGUAUUAUCCAUAUGGUGGGUACAUACAUAGUUGAUAAGCUAUUUUUGUUAAUGAUAUGUUUUAAUAUAACAUUGAUACGCUUUGAAUUAAAAUAA